rnacentral:rRNA from 1 species
UACGUAGGUGGCAAGCGUUGUCCGGAAUUAUUGGGCGUAAAGCGCGCGCAGGUGGUUCCUUAAGUCUGAUGUGAAAGCCCACGGCUCAACCGUGGAGGGUCAUUGGAAACUGGCGAACUUGAGUGCAGAAGAGGAAAGUGGAAUUCCAAGUGUAGCGGUGAAAUGCGUAGAGAUUUGGAGGAACACCAGUGGCGAAGGCGACUUUCUGGUCUGUAACUGACACUGAGGCGCGAAAGCGUGGGGAGCAAACAGG